rnacentral:rRNA from 1 species
UACAGAGGCCCCAAGCGUUACUGAGAGUCACUGGGUUUAAAGGGUGCGUAGGUGGCGCGUUAAGUCCGUUGUGAAAUCCCUUGGCUCAACCAAGGAACUGCUUCGGAUACUGGCGUGCUUGAGGCUAGUAGGGGUCACUGGAACUGACGGUGGAGCGGUGAAAUGCGUAGAUAUCGUCAGGAACGCCGAUGGUGAAGACAGGUGACUGGGCUAGUUCUGACACUGAGGCACGAAAGCGUGGGGAGCGAACGGG